rnacentral:lncRNA from 1 species
AUCGUGCAAAGGAAGGUAAGUCCAGUUGUGACGCGCGCUGCAAGUCAUCUCCAUUCUGGCCGAAUUCGCGGCUCUCGCCAGAGAAACGGCUUCCGCUCUGGCGCACUUGUCUGCUCUGACUCUCGGUUCCUCUGGCUUCUUGAUUUCUCUGCUCUGGCAUUCGGUUCCUCUGACUGGUGAUUCCGCUGCUCUGGCUUUUCAUUUCUAUGGCUAUUCAUUUCUCUGACUAUUGAUUCCUCUGGCGAUUG